rnacentral:misc_RNA from 1 species
AACGCAUAUUGCGCUCUUUGGUAUUCCGAAGAGCAUGCUUGUUUGAGUAUCAGUAAACACCUCAAGACCUUCAAUUUUUUUUUGACGGUCUUGGACUUGAGCAAACCCAACGCCUUUCUUUUUCAGAUCGACGGCGGGUUGCUUGAAAUGCAGGUGCAGCUGGACAUUCUCCUGAGCUAAAGGCAUAUCUAUUUAGUCCCGUAAAACGGAUUAUUACUUUGCUGCAGCUAACAUAAAGGGAGCUUGACCUCAUAUGCUGACUGAUGCAGGAUUUCGCAGAUCUCGUCAAAGAUUUCUGUUAAACUCGAUCUCAAAUCAAGUAAGACUACCCGCUGAACUUAA